rnacentral:rRNA from 1 species
UACGUAGGGAGCAAGCGUUGUCCGGAAUUAUUGGGCGUAAAGAGCUCGUAGGCGGUCUGUCGCGUCGGCUGUGAAAUCCCGGAGCUCAACUCCGGGUCUGCAGUCGAUACGGGCAAACUGGAGUACUGCAGGGGAGACUGGAAUUCCUGGUGUAGCGGUGGAAUGCGCAGAUAUCAGGAGGAACACCGGUGGCGAAGGCGGGUCUCUGGGCAGUAACUGACGCUGAGGAGCGAAAGCGUGGGGAGCGAACAGG